rfam:Lasius niger Lnig_2.1_2236, whole genome shotgun sequence.
AUCUUCAUAGCUCAGAGGUUAAAGCACUGGUCUUGUAAACCAGAGGUCGAGAGUGCAAAUCUCUCUGGGGGAG